AGCAGGGCCAGCGCCCCGUUCCCCCCGCGGCCGCCCGGGUCCCCAUUACAGUGCGUGAACGGCGAUCCAGCAGGAAGAGGCGCAGAUCCACAGGCCGAAGGAGAUGCAGACACGGUGGCGGGCGAAGCAGCGGUCCAGUUCUUUUCUACCAUGUGCCAGGAGCAUCGGUCUUCUGCCCCUGGGUCUCCGGAAUUAUCCACAGCUCAGAACUCCCAAACUUCAGUCUCACAUAGAAACUGCCUAUGUGACAUGUCUUGCAUGUCUUAAUUGAGCACAUCUACAAUGAAACUGGAUGAUUUUCCUUUCCAAACCUGCUCCACCAGGAUGGUAUUCCCUCACAGCAUCAUGUGAGAUGUUGCCCCACAAAGGAUAGAACUCACAGUCCCUGCAGUGGAAUAGGAGUCUUAACCACAGA